UUACGGCCACAUCAUGUUGAAGCACUGGUUCCUGUAAGAACACCAAAGUUAAGCAACUUUGAGACUGCUUAGUACCUACAUGGGUGACCGCUUGGGACUACCUGGUGCUGUUA